UGGCCGUAUAAAUUUCGGCGACCGCACACGACCAUUGCAAAAUCAAGCGAAGAAGGAGACCCCCCCUCUCUCUCUCUCUCUCUCUGAGCUUGUAAAAACUUUUAUCUUGAUUGAGUGUUUCGGUUCGUAUUUGCUUUCUCUCUUGUGUACGCUCUCGCGUGUUGUUGGGGUAGUAGUUGUCGUCGUCGUCCGUCUAGUGGAAGGAUUUAGAUGUAAUGAGACGGCUCUCGAGCGGCGGCGGGAGGCGGGUUUUGUCUUGCGCUGGGUCGUGUUUGGCGUGGUGAUUUUUAAAAUUAGUUCGGUGGCUGUGCCGUUCCAGUUUCGUUCUCUGGCUCGUGGUUGGGGAUUCUUCUCCGAGGGAGCUUCUAUGUUAUGAUAAACUUGCCUUUGGAGGCGUGGUCCGCCUGGUGGCGUAAGCCUAUGUGCAGUGCCGUGUGCAUGUGAUGGCAGACUGUUGGUGGUCGAAGCCGGAGUGUAUUGGUAGUAUUGACUAAUGGAGGUGGUGGUUUACAGUGGUCGUGCGGAGGUUUUGACGAAAAUGAUGGCAGAAACCUAUACUUGAACAAGCUGAAUCUGUUUACUUUUCCUGAUUUAUUGGAUUGGGAUUUUUAUUGUUCUGGGAUAUAGCAACUGUAAUUUUAUCUUUUGUCUCUUCUCAUAUGAUUGAUCGAAGUAAUUUAAUAAUUGACAUGUCAAUUAUUAAGGAAGCUUCUGGAGGUGAAGUACAAAAACACAUAGGCAAAGGAAAGCAGUCAUUCAGGACUUGUGGCGCUCUGGAUCCCCUAAAUUCGUCAGGUUCUUUCAGGCUAAUCAUCAGGUGUGAAUUUGAUAUGCUGCAGGGCUGCAAGAUCAUGAACAGGAUUAGCAGUGUUACACAAAGAUAUGAAGCGUCACUUCCAGGUGGUGGUGGAGAUGGAGUGGUCCCAGUGGUUGGGGCUGGCAGCUACCAGACGCAUGAAGUUUUGGCAUUAGUUAAGACAAAACGUUGAUUAGGCGUUCCCAGGUUCUCCAGAGGCAAAGGGUCAGUGGAUCCUUCAACUUUGAAGAUUCCGCAGGAAACAAAUUGCUGUGAGUCGCGAGAAUCUAGUCGAGAUUUGCAGGACCUUUCGAGUUCGAAACAUCUGAGGCUAUCAUGUGUUGCCAAUUGCAAGAGUGUGGAAGCUUCUGGAGGCAAAGUACAAAAACACAUGGGCAAAGGAGAGCGGUCAGGCUGCUGGACUUGUGGUGCUCUGGAUCCCCAAAACUCAUCAGGUUCUUUCAAGCUAAUCAUCAGGUAUGAAUUUGAUAUGCUGCAAGGCUGCAAGAAGCUGAACUUCAGAAUCUUGAGGGUUUCAUGUUGAAAUGUGGCCUUGACGGGCUGGGUUUUUUUGGUAAUAUUGGAUAUUCAUGGUUGCACUUCCCUUGGAAGAUUAUCGGAUCUAUUGUGCUUGAAAACAAAGGUUGAAACAUCAACCACUAUGAAAUGCUACAUGACAUUCAAAGCCUGAAGGUAUUCUCAUCCUGCAAAAGUUUGUGUAUUCAAGGAUGCAAGUCUUUAGCAAAAUUCCCUGAUGUGUUGAAAUUUGAAGAUUUAAGGAACUUGUUAGUGACAGCUUGUUGGGAGCUAUCAGACAACCCAGGACUCAGGAUUGAGAUACCUAUAAAAUAUAGAGAUUUCAUGAUGCUCGUCAAUUGUUGCAUGAGACUGCAACAAACUAAUUGAGCCCUGAGGGCUUGGAGACUAGGAGCUCCACAAGCUUUAGACAUUUCUAGAUGCAAGUCGCUAAAGCCAAUAUCUGAAUUGUCUUGAGCUUUUCUUAUAUAGAAUAUGAGCAGUUGUCAUGUCAGGUUUUCAUGAGAUCACAUUCUGGUGAUAGUUCGAUAUUUGAGACAAUCCCUGGUCCCCUAAUAAGGCAAAAUCUUAGACUUGAUAAAAUCAUGAAUGAAGCUGGCAAUCCUGGUGAUUCAUCCGUGAGUGAUUAUUUUUUGUAGAUUACUGAGUGAUUCAUGUUUCUUAGUUGGAAUGAAUUCUUUCUCUGUAUCAUGGUAGGAAUGUAACUGGCAGCCCUUGUUGGAGGACUAGACCAUAAGAGUGCCCCUGAAGAAAAUAAUUUGUCAUCUGCAUCCACUAUGAUUGCUCAAUCUUAACAUGAUAUCAGGAACCAGACUUUUAGAUUAAUAAUCUCUUUUAUGUUUUGUAUCUGAAGGCUGUUCUGCUUGCUGGCAGGUCAUCUAUAACGUGUUUGUUUUGUAUCCAUGGAAGCUUCUGGAGGCAAAGUACAAAAUCACAUUGGCAAAGGAGAGCAGUCAUGCUGCUGGACUGGUGGCACUCUGGAUCACCACAAUUCGUCGGGUUCUUGCUAGCUAAUCAUCAGGUGUGAAUUUGAUCUGCUGCAGGGCUGCAAGAGACUAGCAGUGUUACACGGAGAUAUGAAGUGUCACUUCCAGGUGGUGGCGGAGAUGGAGUGGUCCCAGUGGUUGGGGCUGGUAGCUACAGGGAUCCAGCUGACUGGAGUUGGGGGCAGUGUAAUUUUCACUGACAGUGACAGCUAAUUUUUGGCCUUGAGAGCAACGAUCGCUGUUAGCAAAGGUGUAGACAGAGUAAGACUCGCAGGCACUGUUGAGGGAAAUGUUGGCUGGUCCGUUGGUCAGUGUAUGAACAUAGAAGCACUGUGGCAGUUAUUAUUAUCACCAUUUGACAU